rnacentral:rRNA from 1 species
AUUGAACGCUGGCGGAAUGCUUUACACAUGCAAGUCGAGCGGCAGCGCGGGGCAACCUGGCGGCGAGCGGCGAACGGGUGAGUAAUGUAUCGGAACGCGUCCUUGAGUGGGGGAUAGCCCGGUGAAAACCGGAUUAAUACCGCAUGAGCUCGAGAGAGGAAAGCGGGGGAUCGCAAGACCUCGCGCUGAAGGAGCGGCCGAUAUCCAAUUAGCUAGAUGGUGAGGUAAAGGCUUACCAUGGCGAUGAUCGGUAGCUGGUCUGAGAGGAUGAUCAGCCACACUGGGACUGAGACACGGCCCAGACUCCUACGGGAGGCAGCAGUGGGGAAUUUUGGACAAUGGGGGCAACCCUGAUCCAGCCAUUCCGCGUGAGUGAAGAAGGCCUUCGGGUUGUAAAGCUCUUUUGUCGGGGACGAAACGGUUUUGGCUAAUAUCCAAGACUACUGACGGUACCCGAAGAAUAAGCACCGGCUAACUACGUGCCAGCAGCCGCCGUAAAAC